AUGCAGGUAACAGUGAACGCUCGGCCGGCGCGCCCCGCGCCCCGCACCCCGCGCCCCGCAGGACGGCGGCGCCCACCCCUGCAGCAGGGCGCCUGGGGCGGCGCCGGCGCUCGGAAACCCGAGGCGGGAGGCCGGACCCCUCGAGGCCCCCAGACCCGGCCUCCAGGCGGGGCCGGGCCUCCGUCGGGUCCCGCUCGCUCUCCAGCGGGGCCCGCCGCCCCGCCCCGCCCCGCCCCGGCCCGAGCCCGGCCGCUGCCCCCACCGCGGCAACUCGGCGGGCCCAGGUCACUCGGCGCCGCCGCUCGCCCGGGCCCCCCGCCCCGGUCCCCGCCCCGCCGUCUCCCCCUCCCUCCCCUCCCCUCCCUCCCCUCCCCCCGGGAGGGAGGAGGAGACUCGGCGGCCCUCCCUCGGCCCUCCCGGCGGCGGCCGCAGCCAGCCCCGUGCCCGCUCCGCCCAGCCGCGGCGGGUCGGACGUCCGGAGCCCGCGGGUGCCCGGCCGAGGUGAGCGGGGGCGGCAGGGCCGGGGGCGGCGGGCCGCGGCGCCCGGGGACUCCCCCAGCCCGCGAACCUUCCGCGGGAGGGAAGGGGUUAAGGCGGGGCGUGCUGGAGGAGAGGGGCGCAGCGUCCGCAGCAACCCCCAAACUCCGGGCAGAACUUCCUGGCCCCCUCCCGGGCUCCCGCCACCUCCCGGCCCCGGACGUCGGGUGCGGAGGGGCCGCGGGGCCGCGGGGGGAAGGCAGAGCCGCCUUCGGAAUGCUGCGGGCCGGGCCGGGCCGGGCCGGGCCGGGAGGGGGCGCGGGCGGGGGCGGAAUUGGGAACUCUCCCGGGACCCAACGUGGUCACCAUGGCGAGUGUGGGACGGACGGGCGCCCGAGCCAAUCGGAGCGCGGCGCCCCCGCCUCGGCCCGCGGCGGCCGCCAAUGGGGGCCCUGCGGCGGGGUGGGCGGGACCGCGCGGCGCGGGGCCGGGAGCCCCCUCUGCCCCCGCCAGCCGCUAGAGGGAGCGGGGCGGCCGUGCCCGGCCCCGGCGGGUGGGGAGGCGGCGAGGAAGGGAGGGCCGGACGCGACUCUCGGCGUGGGAGGGCGGAAAGCGAAUUUCUGGAAGGAGCCUGGGCCGCUACGAGCGGCGGGCCCGUGCGAGGAGAAUGCAGCGGGCUGGAGCUGCCUCGGCGUUCCGACGGCGCCCGUGGAGGAGAGCUGCAGGCGCAUCUCCCCGGGCUCCUGUUUCCGUAUCUUAAGUGUGGGCUGUACAGACAGACAGGGCGGUCGGGUUGGUUCUAGUGGGUUCGGGUUGGCACAGGGUCUGCCCACUUGCUGGACGGAGCUUUUAGGGAGCUCGUUAGCGCCUCUCCCCCAUGGUACAGGCAAGGAAACAGGCCCAGAAGGCGCAGGCAGAAAGGCGCAGACAUCCCACAGCGUAUCAGUGGCGGAGCCGGGGCGGGGGGCAUGUGCGCUCUACCUGGGCGAAGAGUCCAAGGAGUCGCUGAGAGGCGGCCGCUGGCCCGCAGGCAGGCCGGCCCCCGCGCGCCGCCCUCAGUCUCUCCCCGACCAGCUGUGCCUGGCCGCUCGGCCUGAGGCCUGA
rnacentral:lncRNA from 1 species